AUGAACGCUAGCGGCAGGCUUAAUACAUGCAAGUCGAGGGGCAGCACGGUUAGCAAUAACUGGUGGCGACCGGCGCACGGGUGCGUAACACGUAUACAAUCUACCUUAAACAGGGGGAUAGCCUUUCGAAAGAGAGAUUAAUACCCCGUAAUAAAUUGAAUGGCAUCAUUUGAUUUUGAAAGCUCCGGCGGUUUGAGAUGAGUAUGCGUCUGAUUAGCUAGUUGGUGAGGUAACGGCUCACCAAGGCGACGAUCAGUAGGGGAUCUGAGAGGACUAACCCCCACACUGGUACUGAGACACGGACCAGACUCCUACGGGAGGCAGCAGUAAGGAAUAUUGGUCAAUGGGGGCAACCCUGAACCAGCCAUGCCGCGUGCAGGAUGAAGGCCCUAUGGGUCGUAAACUGCUUUUAUACCAGAGAAAACCCGAGUACGUGUACUCGGUUGAUAGUACGGUAAGAAUAAGCAUCGGCUAACUUCGU
rnacentral:rRNA from 1 species